CAUGUCUUUUUGAUUAUAAUUUAAAGUCUGACCUGCCCUAUGAUUAAAAUUAAAUGGCCGCGAUAUUUUGAUCGUGCAAAGGUAGCAUAAUCAUUAGUUUCUUAAUUAGGAACUGGAAUGAAAGGUUGAACGAGAAAAUAACUGUCUCAAUUUAAUUUAAUUAGAAUUUUAUUUUUAAGUUAAAAAGCUUAAAUAAUUUUAAAAGACGAGAAGACCCUAUAGAGUUUAAUAUUAAAAUUUUUAAAUUAAAAUUUAGAAUUUAAUUUAUUUAAUUUAUUUUUAGUAUUUGGUUGGGGUGAUUUAAAAAUUUAUAUAACUUUUUUUUUUUUAUUACAUUAAUUUAUGAUUAUAUGAUCCAUUAAUAAUGAUUAUUAGAUAAAAUUACCUUAGGGAUAACAGCGUAAUUUUUUUUGAGAGUUCUUAUCGAAAAAAAAGGUUGCGACC
rnacentral:rRNA from 1 species